rnacentral:lncRNA from 1 species
AUGACAGGAUUUUUUUUUAGGGAUUUUUUUUUUUUUCCCAUGUGUGAAACUUCAGCACCUGCCUGGGUUUAUUCCUCCCAGCUGAGCAUCCUCGUGCUGAGCAAGGAUCCCCUAAAAUCUGCUUCAUCCUGGUGCUCUCCCCAGUGGAGCCAGAGCUGGAUCACUGCCCACAUCCCCCCCCUGCUCAGCCCUGCCUGGGGGAGAGGCCAAAGCUCUCCCACCCUGCUCCAGGUGGGAAUUUUCCAGGUGGGAACCAAAGGAUUGUCAGGUGUCACUGCUGUCCCAGGGGGCCUUUCCAUGCUGGGAGACUUCCAGCCGGCAAUACAAUCCUAUUUCAGAAAGAUUUGGGAUUUUCCCAUGACCCUGGGAUGAAGGUCUGGGCUGGUUUUAGACACAAAUCCAGAAAUAGCCAAAACCUGUGUGCUGCUUUCUUUGGAACAGCUUUGUCCAGGAGGGGAGGAGAUUUUUAUGGGGGGUUUUUUAGGUUAUAAAAGCAGCUGAGUGCCAAGCAGAGAGGCUGAUCCCUGCUUUGCCUUGUCCUGUCCUUGUGUCCUGUCCUUCCCUCGUGCAAAAUUCCUCCUGCAGAGAGAAUUCCACCAUUCCCAGCACAGGACAGGCCUGCAGAUGCCUUUCCCAGGCUUUGAGCCCUGUAAGAGCUGUAGAAAUCCCGUGGCUGUGCAUGCCUCCAGCCCUCGGGAUGGGUUUUUCUACCGGACCUGUCGCAUUUCCCGAGACCAAAUUCCAGCGGGGAUGGGGCUCUGUCCCUCGCUGUGCCCCUGCCGCGCUCCCCUUCGGUAUUUUACUGUGAAUUCCGACCCUUUUGUAAAGCCACAGCAAUUUUGUACUGACCCGAGAUACUGUGUGGAGGGAGGAGCCUCUCCCCCCUGGAAUGUCACGCCGAGUUUUUUUUUCCCGGAGUUUUCUUCCCGGAGUUUCCUGCCGGUGAAUCGCUGCAGCUGUGUUUCUGCUCUCAAGAUGUAAAUAAAGAUUUUCUCCUGCUGAUCUCUGUGCCUGUG